rnacentral:rRNA from 1 species
UGCAGAAUCCCGUGAACCAUCGAGUCUUUGAACGCAAGUUGCGCCCCAAGCCUUCUGGCCGAGGGCACGUCUGCCUGGGUGUCACAAAUCGUCGUCCCUCUCAUCCUCUUAGGACGUGGGACGGAAGCUGGUCUCCCGUGUGUUACCGCACGCGGUUGGCCAAAAUCCGAGCUAAGGACGCCGAGAGCGUCACGACAUGCGGUGGUGAACUAAAGCCUCUUCGUAUCGUCGGUCGUUCUUGUCUAUAAGCUCUCGAUGACCCAAAGUCCUCAAAGCGACCCCAGGUCAGGCGGGAUCACCCGCUGAGUUUAAGCAUAUCAAUAAGCGGAGGAGAAGAAACUAACAAGGAUUCCCUUAGUAACGGCGAGCGAACCGGGAAGAGCCCAGCUUGAAAAUCGGAUGUCUUCGACGUUCGA